GGUCCAUUCGUCUAGUGGCCGAGGACAUCAGGUUUUCAACCUGAAGACAGGAGUUCGAUUCUCCUAUGGACUA
rnacentral:tRNA from 1 species